rnacentral:rRNA from 1 species
UACAGAGGUCUCAAGCGUUGUUCGGAUUCAUUGGGCGUAAAGGGUGCGUAGGUGGCGCCAUAAGUCUGAUGUGAAAUCCCUGGGCUCAACCCAGGGCCUGCAUCGGAAACUGUCGGGCUUGAGUAUGGGAGAGGUGAGUGGAAUUUCCGGUGUAGCGGUGAAAUGCGUAGAUAUCGGAAGGAACACCUGUGGCGAAAGCGGCUCACUGGACCAUUACUGACGCUGAGGCACGAAAGCUAGGGGAGCAAACAGG